CUGAGAGGGCGGCUCACAGCGAUCUCGCGAGAGAGAGAAAGCUCUCUCUUUCAACGCCUUUCUUCCAACUCCUCCGGCGGCUGAAAGAAGUUUAAAUCUGAUUGGAUGUUAACGAUGAAGUUGAUAGGCCGAAAUAACUGUCCAUCACUCGCUUAAAGGCGUAGGCUCUUACAAUGAGGAGGCUGCCUGAAGGUGAAAGAGUAGAAUACGUGCUUGCUGUGCGACGUCACUUAGACGUCGCGAAAUGGUGACCAUAAAAUAGUUCCUCCUCCCCG
rnacentral:lncRNA from 1 species